UCCAAUAACCAGCCUUAUCCACUCCGGCCUUAUCUCCUUCCCGUGCGACUCUCGGCGCCUCGCCCUCGCCGCCCCCGUCGGCGGCGGCGGCCCGCCGCGGGAGCAACCACCCUCUGCCGCGGCCUAACACGAAGCUCUCUCCGUUUUGCUCCUCGCUCCACAUCUACAUCAACUCCCGCUGAGCUCCCCCGCCGCCGACGGCUCCCCGCCCGGCUCCGGUGACGCAACGCCGCCUUCGCCACCGCCGCGACCACCGCCGACGCUAAAUCGUCGGAAUCCUACGCCCCCGCCGCCUCCACAGCCCACCGGGGGUCCCCACCGCCCAGCUCCGGCGGCGCCCUCGCCGCCUCCGAUCCAGCCGUCUCCCCCGCCUCCACCGCCGGCCGACGAGCCACCCAGAACUCCUUCUAGGUCCGCGGGCACAGGUAACCCCCAACCCUCAGCCCCAAAUACCGAAACCCCCAACCCUAAAAGCUCGCCGGAGGAGCUCGCCGGAGGAGGCCUCCAUUGUUGUUGGAGGAGGAGAAGCGCAGCUACGUGGCGUUCGUCGAUUGGUCAAAAAUUCAAGUGGUGGAGCUUCUCAAAACACUCGAGUGUUGUUUAGCUCCUCCCAACUGAAAAAGGUGGCUUGUGGCCUGGACAGCCAACUAACAGCGGGAUAGGCCGCCGGCCGGCUGGCCGUCAACUGGGACUCGAGAGAGCCUGUCGGUGCUUCAGCGGCAGCGUAACUGCCGCGCGACGCGAGAUGACAAGACGAUCCCCAUUCCCCAACCAACCCGGCGCCUCCGAUCCCCUUCACUUUCACUGCGCUGCCGGCCUGCUGAUCAGCGCAGGCAGCAGUCGCGGUACGAUACGAUCAAAGGCGGCUCCCUUCCAUCCACGUGAGUGGCCCCCGCGCUGAGCGCCCCGCCCAUUUCACCAUCAUUUUGACGGGACUUGCACAGCCAUCCCUGAUCAUUUGAAGGGACGUGCCGUCAACUUGGGGUGGUUCAGGGAUCAGAUGCAGUGUGAAAGGCGAGUACCGCGCGACACUAGCUUUGGGGCAAAGCGUUGAAUCAUUAGCUUGGGUUGUUGCUUCGAUUUUAAUAGCAGAUCUAGGUAAAAGUUAUAGUAAAAAGGGUUGUUCAUCGAAUACAGCACGGUGUUAAAUCUGGGUGGAAGAACUGAACACCUGGACAGCAGCGAGCAGGCUGGCACUGAUGAUGCAUCUGACCAUCUGACUGGCUACGUUGGUACUGGUA